CUGUGAGGCCCACAGUGACAGCAAACCCACAGAGAUGCUCCACUAGAGGGCGACAUCAUCCAGUAGGCGGUGCUCUCCUUCUGCACUGUGUUCAACCAUUGUGUCAAUAAUAAGUGCUGCUGUGAAGAGAACAAUUCUCAGACUGAAUGUUGAACAUCAGCUAGUUUCUCCUGUUGAUUGAAACCUUGUUGUACAGAUGGAACAUUGGCUGUGGAUUAUUCUUGCUGCUCUUUUCUUUGAGUGUAAAGGAGAAGACAAAGUGAUCCAGGAACAAAGAGAUGUCAUUGCUGCUGAAGGAGACACAGUUACACUUCACUGCAAAUAUGAAACAACUUCUACAUACGCAUAUUUGUUCUGGUACAAACAAGAAGUGAACAAAUUUCCAAAAUAUGUUUUAAGACGUGACACAGCAUCAGAGGACAACGCUCAAGAGUUCCCAAAAAACAGAUUUGAUGCUGAACUCAGAGACAAAUCAGUUCCUCUGAAGAUCCAGAAGCUUCAGCUGUCUGACUCUGCUGUGUACUACUGUGCUCUGCAGCCCACAGUGACAGGAAACACCAAAACUCUGUACAAAAACCUUUGGAGCAAAGACAACAGAAUACUCCACAACAUCCACUAGAGGGAGCCACACACUGUUACACUGUCAAA